GGCGGGGGAAGGGAGGGGGAAGGGAGGGAGAGGGACCGAGGAGGGGAGAUAUCCCUCCGCAGAGCUGGGUCUGGCCGCGGGCGGGGAAGCAGGAAGUAAGGUGUCCAGCGCCGCGACCGGCUGGUCGUCCGCCUCGGCCCCCGCCCGCGUCCCCUUUCCCCCGGGGCGCAGCGCUACGGCGGGCGCGGGCCGCCCGGCGCAUUGUUCGCAGCCUUCGCGGCGGUGCGCUGCUGACUUUAUUUGUGCGCUUUGCGUGUGCGUGAGGUUGCACCUUUUGUAGGCUGGCGAGUCUCUGGACGAGGAUGGGACGGGGGACACGGGCCCAGUUGCGGCCCUGCGCGAGCGGGACCUGUCAGCCCUGAGGUGCAGCGGACCCUCCGGCAUGGCCGGAAAAUCGAGGCCGGGGAGAAGGCAGCGUGGCCGGGAAGCUGCCGCCUUAAACCCGGACCAGUGCAGGAUUGCUUCCUGCGUAGCCGUCCCGGUUAUUGUAACACGCUUUGCAAGCUAACGACUGGGGUUGAAUGCAUUCACAUGGUUCCAAAUUCAAAUAAACAGCAAGAAGUCUCCCUCCCACCCUGUCUGCCACCCACUUGGUUUUCCUUCUCUGGAGGCAACCUGGGUUAGUGGUCAGAAGAUGCAUUUAACUGUUUUCCAGCUGAGGCCUUGUGAGAACUCCUCGGACACCAAUUUAAAUCUUUAUGUCCAGAACUCCUUUCUCCAAUCCAGGUAGAGCCACUCCCCUAUCCUAUCCCCACUCCCACCCUUCCCCCCUUCAGCCUCAAUCCUAAGCAGGCUCUAUUAACAAUGAUGAGCCACCAUUUCCUCGAGCUACUAACAAAUGCAAAUGUUUAAAUACUUUGUGGUUCUUUUUCCUCUUCUACAUUAAUUGCUAACAUUUAUCGAGGGCUUUCCGUGUGCCACGCACUGUGCUAAAUACUAGGCAUGCAUAUUCUUAUUUAAUCUGCCCCAAAUCUUCAUCAUUAUCCUUAUUUACAGAUGCAAGAUGAGGUUCCACCAUUCUUGCCCAGACUGGUUUCGAACUCCUGGACUCAAGCGAUUUGCCUGCCUCGGCCUCAAAAAGUGCUGGGAUUACAUGCAUGAGCCACCACACCCGGACCCUCUCUCUUAAAUAGUGGCCCUUUUGCCUCUCUGCAACACAGGAAAAAUUCUGUUAGCCUGCAUCAGAAGGAGUGGCAUGGAGGCUUUGGAGUUAAGAAGAUUUAAUUCAAAUUAUGUGUCCGGUGCCUGCCAGCAAUGAGACCUUGGUAAGGUUUCUUAACCUCUCUGAGCUGGGACCAUACCUUCUGCGUUGGUUUAAUAUAAAGGUUAAAUGCAUGUAAAUAAAUGACUUCUAAAAUAAAUAACAUUCUAAAAUGUUAGUAACAACUAAAUACAAUAUUUAGAUCUUGUGAGGAUUUGAUUUGAAUAAAUAAGAUUUUUUUAAAAGACAUUUUUGAGACAAAAUGUAGACUAUCUGAUAUUAAGAAAUUAAUCACUUUUUCAGAUAUGAUAAUGGCAUUGCAGUUUUUUUUAAGUUCUUAUCUAUUACAGAUACAUAAUGAGGCAUUUUGAGUGAAAAUAUAUCUAGGAUUUGCUUUCCAAUACUCCAUCCCCUCCCCAUCAAAACACUAAAUAAAUGAAACAAGAUUAGUGAAAUACGGAAAAUUGUUGAAGUUAUUCAUUAUUCCAUUUCCCAUAUGGAACUUUCCAUACUAGUUUCCCUACUGCUGUUGAAUAUUUGACAUGUUUCAAAUACAUUUGAAAUAAAUUUAUUGUCUGAGAUGAUCAGGUUGAAAAAUAAUAAAAUGAAAUAAAUUUAAAAGUAAAAUAAACAUAACCCUUUUAAGCAUUAAAAUUAAAAAUUAUGAGGCUUGUUGAAUUAUUACUGUUAUAAAUAAUUACAUACAUGUAUUUUUGAAACAGUCUUGCUCUUUCACCCAGGCUGCAGUGCAGUGGCAUAAUCACAGUUCACUGCGGCCUCAACCUCCCAGGCUCAGGUGAUCCUUGCACGUCUGCCUCCCAAGUAGCUGGGACUGCAGGUGUGCACCACCAUGCCUGGCUAAAUUUUUCUCUUUUGUAGAGACGGGUUUUGCGAUUUUGCCCACACUGGUCUUAAAGUCCUGGG
rnacentral:lncRNA from 1 species